rnacentral:rRNA from 1 species
GUGGGGAAUAUUGGACAAUGGGCGCAAGCCUGAUCCAGCCAUGCCGCGUGAGUGAUGAAGGCCCUAGGGUUGUAAAGCUCUUUCACCGGAGAAGAUAAUGACGGUAUCCGGAGAAGAAGCCCCGGCUAACUUCGUGCCAGCAGCCGCGGUAAUACGAAGGGGGCUAGCGUUGUUCGGAAUUACUGGGCGUAAAGCGCACGUAGGCGGACAUUUAAGUCAGGGGUGAAAUCCCGGAGCUCAACUCCGGAACUGCCUUUGAUACUGGGUGUCUGGAGUAUGGAAGAGGUGAGUGGAAUUCCGAGUGUAGAGGUGAAAUUCGUAGAUAUUCGGAGGAACACCAGUGGCGAAGGCGGCUCACUGGUCCAUUACUGACGCUGAGGUGCGAAAGCGUGGGGAGCAAACAGGAUUAGAUACCCGAGUAGUCC